rnacentral:rRNA from 1 species
UUUAUGGAGAGUUUGAUCCUGGCUCAGAGUGAACGCUGGCGGCGUGCCUAAUACAUGCAAGUCGAACGAUGAAGCUUCUAGCUUGCUAGAAGUGGAUUAGUGGCGCACGGGUGAGUAACGCAUAGGUCAUGUGCCUCUUAGUUUGGGAUAGCCAUUGGAAACGAUGAUUAAUACCAGAUACUCCCUAUGGGGGAAAGAUUUAUCGCUGAGAGAUCAGCCUAUGUCCUAUCAGCUUGUUGGUAAGGUAAUGGCUUACCAAGGCUAUGACGGGUAUCCGGCCUGAGAGGGUGAACGGACACACUGGAACUGAGACACGGUCCAGACUCCUACGGGAGGCAGCAGUAGGGAAUAUUGCUCAAUGGGGGAAACCCUGAAGCAGCAACGCCGCGUGGAGGAUGAAGGUUUUAGGAUUGUAAACUCCUUUUGUUAGAGAAGAUAAUGACGGUAUCUAACGAAUAAGCACCGGCUAACUCCGUGCCAGCAGCCGCGGUAAUACGGAGGGUGCAAGCGUUACUCGGAAUCACUGGGCGUAAAGAGCGCGUAGGCGGGAUAGUCAGUCAGGUGUGAAAUCCUAUGGCUUAACCAUAGAACUGCAUUUGAAACUACUAUUCUAGAGUGUGGGAGAGGUAGGUGGAAUUCUUGGUGUAGGGGUAAAAUCCGUAGAGAUCAAGAGGAAUACUCAUUGCGAAGGCGACCUACUGGAACAUUACUGACGCUGAUUGCGCGAAAGCGUGGGGAGCAAACAGGAUUAGAUACCCUGGUAGUCCACGCCCUAAACGAUGGAUGCUAGUUGUUGGAGGGCUUAGUCUCUCCAGUAAUGCAGCUAACGCAUUAAGCAUCCCGCCUGGGGAGUACGGUCGCAAGAUUAAAACUCAAAGGAAUAGACGGGGACCCGCACAAGCGGUGGAGCAUGUGGUUUAAUUCGAAGAUACACGAAGAACCUUACCUAGGCUUGACAUUGAGAGAAUCCGCUAGAAAUAGUGGAGUGUCUGGCUUGCUAGACCUUGAAAACAGGUGCUGCACGGCUGUCGUCAGCUCGUGUCGUGAGAUGUUGGGUUAAGUCCCGCAACGAGCGCAACCCCCUUUCUUAGUUGCUAACAGGUCAUGCUGAGAACUCUAAGGAUACUGCCUCCGUAAGGAGGAGGAAGGUGGGGACGACGUCAAGUCAUCAUGGCCCUUACGCCUAGGGCUACACACGUGCUACAAUGGGGUGCACAAAGAGAAGCAAUACUGCGAAGUGGAGCCAAUCUUCAAAACACCUCUCAGUUCGGAUUGUAGGCUGCAACUCGCCUGCAUGAAGCUGGAAUCGCUAGUAAUCGCAAAUCAGCCAUGUUGCGGUGAAUACGUUCCCGGGUCUUGUACUCACCGCCCGUCACACCAUGGGAGUUGUGUUUGCCUUAAGUCAGGAUGCUAAAUUGGCUACUGCCCACGGCACACACAGCGACUGGGGUGAAGUCGUAACAAGGUAACCGUAGGUGAACCUGCGGUUGGAUCACCUCCUUUCUAGA